ACUCCAGUCCUCUCCACCCCAAGGUAGGCAGCUUCCCGCUCCUCGUCUUGGGACCUAAACCCAGGAAGUCAAAUGUCCUUUUCUAGCAGGUCGCCUGGUUAGAGGCCGUGGACGAAGCGGUCCAGGCACAGCCAGCUGCAGGGCGCGGCCUCGGCGGCGCUGCUCGUGGCCCUGGUCAGUGAGCGCACUCACUCCUGGACUAAGCUCUAUGCAACUCAUUUUCAUCUAGCAUUACCUCUCCAAAACCUGAAUCUCCACAAGAAAGCCACACAGCAAUUAACCAGUGUUGCAAGAACUGCUUCUGUAAUAAAGGUGGGAAGACAAAUUGAUGCAACCCUCUUGAAAAGCAAUCUGGCAAUAUGAACCAAGAGCCAUGAAAAGGCUUAUGCUAUUAUAAUUAAAUGGCUGUAAUGUUGGCUGUAAAUAUGAAAUUUUCUUUCACACACCAAUGUUUUCAAGAAUGGCAUAUUCACAUGCAGUAUGUGAUGAAAGAAGCAGUAAAGGAUGCUAACAAAGCUAUUUCUUUGGACAAUCUGAACCUGACGGAGUCUUACUCUGUCGCCCAGGCAGGAGUGCAAUGGCACAAUCUUGGCUCACCACAACCUCCGCCUCCUGGGUUCAAGUGACUCUCCUGCCUGGCCAUAGAAGCAAACACAAACAUAGAGGAAUUGGCUUUGGGCAGAUGGAAGGACCUCAGAGAAAAGAAACAAAGGAAAGAAAACUGGAUGGAUAAAGGUUUGUAGAAAUACUAUUCACAGGAAGCAAAUAGGAAUUCCUUAUCGCUAAACAGACACUAAGUCAAUUGGUAAAGAUCUUGCCAGCUGGUGCCUGGGUGCAUAGACUGCCUAUGGCUCUUGAAUUGCAUGCUGAAAACUUCAUAAUGAAACCAGAAAAUCACAGAAGCAUAAACACAGCUGCUUAUGCCUAUAAAAUGAGAAAAUUGAAGCCAACAGAAGUUAACUAACUUGCCUAAAAUAACACAGCUGUGGCAAAUUAGGACCAGAACCAAGGUCUCCUGACCUAAGUGCUACUCCCACCAUACUACAUGAUCUGCUGUUUAAAAUUUUGGUGAGCUUUAUAACAUAAAUAAAACUACAGAUGUGAAGGACUACUGAAA
ensembl:lncRNA LINC03076 long intergenic non-protein coding RNA 3076